AACGAACGCUGGCGGCGUGCCUAACACAUGCAAGUCGAACGAGAACGCCCGGUAUGGGGGCGCUCGAGUGCGAAACGCGUGGGAACCUGCCCGUAGGUUCGCAAUAACUCCCCGGAAGAGGUGCUAAUACCGGAGAAUGUAUUCCGUGCAAAGAUUUAUGGCCUUGGGAUGGGCCCGCGUGAGAUUAGCGGGUUGGUAGGGUAAUAGCCUACCAAGGCGACGUUCCUUAGCUGGUCUGAGAGGAAGAUCAGCCGGACUGGGAAUGAGACACGGAUCAGAAUGCUAGGGGAGGGAGCAGGAGGGAAUACUGGACGCUGGGUGAAAGCCUAAUACAGCCAUGUCGCGUAGGCCAUGCAGGCGUUAGGAUUGCAAAGCUGAUUUAUCCGGGGCGAUAAUGACAGUACCGGGAGAAGAAGCCCCGGCUAACUCCGUG
rnacentral:rRNA from 1 species